GAGAGUCUAGUGAGUGCUUUGUGAGCUGUGUGUUAGGAAUGUAUGUGAUAAGAAUUUUGAAAUGAGGAAAACAUUAUCUGAAUACGUAUCACUGUGUUAGGAUUAUUAUCGUUAGUCAUUGAACAUGUGUUCUUUCAAAGACUUUGACGCAGCAGCGACUGAACCGUAGUAUUAUGAUCUGCAGGCUCUGAAGACAUGGAAAAGUUUAAAAGCACAAACGAUGAUGUUGAUGUUAUUGUUAAUGAGUAUGGAGAUGAUGAAGACCUGGAUGAAGAAGAGGAAGAAGAUGAAGAAGAACUAUAUGUGGUAAUAUAUACUGUAGAGAUAAAU
rnacentral:lncRNA from 1 species